GCAACCCAAGUUUAGUAUAUCACUUCCAGUCAUGAGCUAAUGGAAGGAAAGGCAGCAGCCCUCCUCUGGCUCAGCUGUGGCUCCAUGCAGCCACUGAAAAUGCAUGAAGGCGCCAGUUGCACAGCACCCCUCUCCCUUCACAGCCCCCUCUGAUGGAGUAUUGCUGUUUCUAGAAACGUAAGGAAUAUUCUUCAAAGCAGGAGGACAGAAAGUCAUACCUGCACAUUUCAGUUCUGAAUCCAGCCAAAAACUCCUCUCUGAUGCCUCUGGCAAUUCCUGAAACUGCAGCAUCUCACAGCUAAAUCUGGACACCCUCAGUAAAGCACAGCAGUGGUGCUUCAGCACAAGCCACCUCACCUGUGUGUGCCACAGGCACCUACAGGCAGCAAAGCCUCUUUGAAACAGGCACGUCUCAAUGCCUUUCCGGUUAACUCUUGCACCGAAAGCCCACAUAACUCAAGCAAAAUCUUUCCAUUUACCUCAACAAACUGUAUCUUUUUCUCCUCUUCAGAAGUUGUGAGGAGCUGGGUACCAUAACAGCGUUUUCUCUCAAGGAAAGCUUCAGAUGAAGCAACGGUGUGGACUGGAUGCUUGAAGAAAGCAAAUGUGCUCUCACAUUGUGCUCUCCUGGUGACCACGAGGGACUGCAGCACCAAAGGGGAGACAUUUCUGAGCAGCGGGAUCAGUGAGCUAACAUCAACAGAGGUGUCCUCUCAGAGCUGCUGUCAAUAACCCAGAGUGGGCCAACUUACAGCCCAGUAACAGUACCUACAGUUCUAGGUGCCUCUGACCUUGAGGCAAGCACAGCCUGGAUGUUCCAGCUCAAGUCCUGUUGCAGAAGUCAAGCUUGUCUGGUUUCAGUCUCAACUGGAAAAUGGCUUAAAACUCAUGUGAUACCUGCACAUUUCUGGAAGGAAAAGUUAAAAUUUCCCCAAAUUAAAAUGCUGUGAGCAGAGAACUUCCAUAGGGUGAGGUCUGGCUGAUAGGAAGGAAAUUUAAGAAGAGACAGAAUGUAAAGGAUGCAUUAUGGUUACAUAAACAGCACAGAGAGAAAGGAGGCAGGGUGAAUCAGUGCCUGUCCAACACUGGAAACUCAAAGCCUCUCAUUUCAAGUGUUUGAAACCCUCUUCUCAUCUCUCCUACCGCACUUCCAAAAUUUCAUAUCCACAGGCUGCACAGAUGGGGAGUCCCACCUCAUCAGCUCUUAGGCAGAGUUUGACAUUGAAGACUUCUAACUCUCAGGGCUUGUUCUGGUUUAAAUAUAUUUCCAUCAUCUGCAUAUUUCUUUCUCCCCAAAGAUAGGUAUUACACACCUUAGAAAAUGGAUGAGGUUUCUUUUAAUCUCUGUACAUCACCUCAACAUUUCAUAAUGCAUCAAGAGAACCAACAGAGAAUGGACCAAAGAACAGGCCUAAAGUCUUCCUCACAAUUUUCACUCACCAAUUUUUGCUUUAUUGCCAUCAUCUGGAUGACUGAGAGCCUUCCACAGAUACCAGAGGCAGCCACAUUGCCUAGGUGCACUUGUCAAAUUUAUCUGAAACCUCAGUACAUUGUUUUUGCCAUUGCUCCACUGUGAUUAUCUGACCUGUCCAACAUGAACCAGAACUUCUGUUUCACAGCUUCAUCAGAGCUACAGCCUUGAGGAUUCAGCCAUGACCACAGAUUUCAAGCAGCAGCAACUGCCCAACACUCUGAAGCUGCUCAAAUAUUCACUUAUACCCAGAGCCCAAACCAUACAGCUCAGCCACUGAGCCACUGGGCUACGGCUGCCCAACAUGCUCCAGUGAUGUCUAAAAAGUCUCUUAUCACAGAUCUCUUCUUCUAGUAAUCAUUUACUCUUUUUUUCCAAAACAAGGUAAAGAGAUUGAGAGUCUCUGUCUCUUUACAUUGAAUGAUUUUCAAAUCUUCCCUGUAACCAAACACUCCUUUCCCAAACACUCUCCAAUGUGCCAACAUCCACACAUCAAACUUGGGCACACAUCUCUACCACUCAAAUAAGAGCACUUGGAAACUAAUCAGCACAGUUCUGUGGAGCAGUUUUCCAUUUUACAGCUCUCAUUGUUUUGCCUGCACACACUUGGUUUGUCUGUCCUUCAUUUGAAGUGGGCUUGCUUUGGUGGGAAGGAAAAUAAUGUAAAUGCCUGCUUUCACAUGUAGUUUAAUUUGUGCUUGCAGUAGAUACUACACAAUUCCAUUACCUCUGCUUCCAAAAUGAGGUGUACUUAAGAUUUUAAUACUUGGGGACAAGGGAAGACAUCAACAUUACAGAAAAAAUAAAACCAUUGCCUAACUUGAGAGAAGAAAUUAAUGCCCUGUGAUCCAUUACAACCCAGCCCACUGAUGGCAUAGCUCUGCACUGGCAAAAGUCUCCACGAGCUCCAUUCUAAGGGGUAGAGGAUGCUGCGUAUGUUGAAGAAGAAUCUUGGCUGUGAUUACUUUGAAAAUACCAGGUUACAAAAUGGAAAAUCUCUUUCCAACAGGCAGCAUAAUUCCAGUUGGCCAUUACAUCACAAAACUUCCAGGGAUUACUGGCAAUUUUAGAAGGCAACUGUGAAGCUAUAAAACAUCUGGCUGUAUUUCACACGGUGAUCAUUCACUUCCUGGGUCCCACUUCAGAGUUCUGCAUGAGCAGCCCUGGUUGCUGAUGGAUACUGCUGAGUCUCCAGAGCCCACAUGAUACUGUCCCAAAUCAGAAAUGCCACAGCAAUCAAAACACCAGAGAUAUCUGUGCCAGUAAUGUCAUAAUUCACAUUUUUGUUUCUCACAAAGCACAUUUUCUAUAUCUCUUUCAUGAGAAUGCCCUCUGCACUGUCACUGCCAGAAGCAGCCAGGCUUGCUGUGACUGAGCACAGCAGAGCCCAGGCUCACUGGCUGCACUGGCAUGAGUUUGAAAUGCUAUAAUUGUAUUAAAUGCUUAACUCCACUCACUAGGAUGGUUAAAAGGCUGCAAAAAAAGCAAAGCUUGCAGAAAGAGAGAAAGCACAAGAGGAGGUUAAAACCAAGCCAUAAUUUUAAACACCGAAGCAAUUGGUGACAGCCAGAGACUUCAGGUGUCCAUGUGGUCAGCGCUAAAGCCUCUAUUCUUCCCUGUCUCAGACACAGGCAUUUUCAUACUCUCCCAGUAAUGCAGUAAACGAGCAUUACACUCAUUACAUGAGUGCAGCAGUGAAAAACAAUGAAAGCAGCUUGGCAUUUUUAUAAGACAGUUCAAAUAAAAAUUAAUGGUACAUGUAAUAAUAAUUCCAAGUGUAUUUUGUUUCCAUUUAUAUCCAACUAAGAGACAAUUUUUGGUGCAUUUGGUUUUAUAGCUCUGUGUAUAUGCAGCAAAGUAAAAAUUCUGCACAUGGGAAAAUAAAUAAGUGGCUAUAUGACUGGUUGACAGCAAGAUUUGUAGAGCUAAUUAGUUCAAUGAAUAGGAAAGGCACUCAAAACUAACAGCUCAUCAAAUAGUUCUUCAUACAAGAGAUAUCUGUCACCCUGCCUGUGCUGAAUAAAUAUUUUUAAUGUCAUCCAGAGAUCAAUGCCAACACAAGCAAAUAAAAACAAAACAAAACACCAAGGCCCAAAGAACCCGACACCCAGGCUGACCUCACCAGCGGCAGCUCAGUGUGAUCACAGUAUCAUCAAGGUUGGAAGAGACCUUCAAGGUAAUUGAAUCCAACCAUCAAACCAGCAACGAGCAUGAUCACCCCUAAACCACAUCCCCAAGUGCCACAUCCAGAUAUCUCUGGAGCACUCCCAGAUGGUGAUGCACCACUUCCCUGGGCAACUUAUUCCAGUGUCUGACCACUCUUACAGUAAUUAUUGUUUUUUCUAAUCUGAACCUCCCCUGGCACAACUUAAGGCCAUUUCCUCUAGUCCUUUCACUUGAGACAUGGUUGUGUCCCACCUGGCUACACCAUCCUUUCAGGUAGUUGUAGGGAGUGAGAAGGCAUCCCCCCGAGCAUCCACUUCUCCAGACUAAACAACCCCAGCUCCCUCAGCCACUCCUCACAGGACAUGUUUUCUGGGCUUCCCCAGCUCUGCUGCCUUCCUCUGGACACCAGAGCUCCUCCAGCACCUCAACAUCCUUUCUGAAGUGAGGUACCUAAAACCGAACUGUCCUGGGUUGCAGUGUAUUCUAUUCCCAUCCUCAUGAGCUGUUGAAAUCAGGUGGGGCAG